CAUGAUAUAAACUCAGGAGUAGAUGUGAUGAAAUAAUCCAGCUUCCUGUUGUGGUAAAUCCUGCUGAAGGCUGCGAGCAGACACGUUGUACCAGGGAAGCAGAGCAGCACAAAGAUGUGUUGAGUGGAAAGUUGUCGGUCGGGGGAAUAACAGAGCUGUGAAUGAGUCCUGUCAGUGUGAUCAGGCUCCUCCUUCUAAUCCACCAACUUAGUGCUGAUGAAGACUAACCAGAGAUCACAGCCUUCUUUAUACUUGCUGUAGCUCCCAGUUCCUCAACACUGCAGAUAUGACACCUCUGUUCAUCUCAGUGCUGCUGGCUGCUGUGUGCCUUGAAUGCAGAGGACAAACGGACAACGUCCUGCAACCACAAGGAGAUGUGACUGCAGCUGAAGGACAGACAGUAACUCUUAAAUGUCUAUAUAACACCAGUUCACAAAAUCAUUACCUUUACUGGUACAAACAGGAUGGAAACAACAGCCCCAAAUUCAUGCUGAUGCGUUAUAAACUGGAUGAAGGGAACAUUGAAGAAGAGUUCAAGGAGAGAUUUUCUUCAACACUGAAUUCCAGCAUCAGAUCAGUUCCUCUGAAGAUCCAGAAGCUUCAUGUGUCUGACUCUGCUGUGUACUACUGUGCUCUGCAGCCCACAGUGACAGGAAACAGCAAAACUCUGUACAAAAACCUUUGGAGCAAAGACAACGCAAUACUCCACAACGUCCACUAGAGGGCCUCACACACUGUUACACUUCUAUGGUUUGUCAGGAUUCAGUCUGGGUUCUUUGUA